AAAUUGAAGAGUUUGAUCAUGGCUCAGAUUGAACGCUGGCGGCAGGCCUAACACAUGCAAGUCGAACGGUAACAGAAAGCAGCUUGCUGCUUUGCUGACGAGUGGCGGACGGGUGAGUAAUGUCUGGGAAACUGCCUGAUGGAGGGGGAUAACUACUGGAAACGGUGGCUAAUACCGCAUAACGUCGCAAGACCAAAGAGGGGGACCUUCGGGCCUCUUGCCAUCAGAUGUGCCCAGAUGGGAUUAGCUU
rnacentral:rRNA from 1 species